rnacentral:lncRNA from 1 species
AGAUCAGAAGUUGGAUAAAACAAGAUCACAAUGGGAACAGGGCUCUGAGAGAGUUCCUGAGUGAAAGAGAGAGUCAGUACAAUCAUCAGACCAAAUUUACACCAAACAAUGGACAUUUAAGAAUACUCUCGGAGGAGUCCUAGAACCAAGAUGUCUGCAGCCAAUGCUCAGGCCAAGCGCUCCUGGCCCCUAUCCUCUGGCUGGGAAAGUGGUCAGCUGUCUGGGGCCCGAAAAGGGGGCUGCCUUAGAAGCUCUGUGGCUCCCGCCUGUCCCAGAAGUUUUUAGCUUCUGUAUUCCAUACUCUCACCUGUGAAGAAUACACUCGGCAGGAUCCCGGAACCAAGAUGUCUGCUGCUGAUGCUCCUCUGGCAGGGAAAGUGGCCAGAUGUCUGGAGCCUGUGCAGAAUACACUAGGUGGGGUCCCGGAACCGACAACUUCUAAGCAAGAGGAAACAGAGAUGCAAGAAAGUCAAGCUGAGAUUGACAGGCGAGGAGACUGGAGUGGACCAACAUGACAGAAGUCUUGAAAUUGAGGAUCUAAGUGGCAUUGGCAAUGUAUCUCUGCAUGUUGGCUGUUACCUCCAUAAGGUGAAAAAAAUUGAAAUGAACCAAGAAUGAGGAUUCUACUUGUAAAAAACUGAAAAUAUGGAUAAAUUUAGCAAGAUUAUUGUUAAGUUGUGACUUUGCUGGGAAAGAAAUGAUAAAUGCUAAUUUUUAAAUAAACUAUUUUACUC